UACGAAGGGUGCAAGCGUUGCUCGGAAUUACUGGGCGUAAAGGGUGCGUAGGCGGCUUCUUAAGUCUGACGUGAAAGCCCAGGGCUCAGCCUUGGAAGUGCGUUAGAAACUGAGAGGCUUGAGUGCCGGAGGGGAGAGUGGAAUUCCCGGUGUAGCGGUGAAAUGCGUAGAUAUCGGGAAGAAUACCGGUGGCGAAAGCGACUCUCUGGACGGCAACUGACGCUCAUGUACGAAAGCGUGGGGAGCAAACAGG
rnacentral:rRNA from 1 species